CGCAUUUUCUCUCAGAUGGAGUUCGACCGCCGCUUCAAGUCCUGAAGACCUCUGUUAACCAGCAUCGCGACACCUUCGGGUUCCAGUUGAUCUGCUAGGCCUUGAGGAUUAUCCCU
rnacentral:ncRNA from 1 species